rnacentral:rRNA from 1 species
AACGGCGGCCGUAACUAUAACGGUCCUAAGGUAGCGAAAUUCCUUGUCGGGUAAGUUCCGACCUGCACGAAUGGCGUAACGAUGGCCACACUGUCUCCUCCUGAGACUCAGCGAAGUUGAAAUGUUUGUGAAGAUGCAAUCUACCCGCGGCUAGACGGAAAGACCCCGUGCACCUUUACUGUAGCUUUACAUUGGAUUUUGAUUAUUCUUGUGUAGGAUAGGUGGGAGGCUGUGAAAUAUGCUCGCCAGAGUGUAUGGAGCCAACCUUGAAAUACCACCCUGGAAUGAUCGGAGUUCUAACCCAGGUCCAUUAUCUGGAUCGGGGACCGUGUAUGGUAGGCAGUUUGACUGGGGCGGUCUCCUCCCAAAGAGUAACGGAGGAGUGCGAAGGUACGCUAGGUACGGUCGGAAAUCGUACUGAUAGUGCAAUGGCAUAAGCGUGCUUAACUGCGAGACUGACAAGUCGAGCAGAUGCGAAAGCAGGUCAUAGUGAUCCGGUGGUUCUGUAUGGAAGGGCCAUCGCUCAACGGAUAAAAGGUACGCCGGGGAUAACAGGCUGAUUCCUCCCAAGAGUUCAUAUCGACGGGGGAGUUUGGCACCUCGAUGUCGGCUCAUCACAUCCUGGGGCUGUAGUCGGUCCCAAGGGUAUGGCUGUUCGCCAUUUAAAGUGGUACGUGAGCUGGGUUUAAAACGUCGUGAGACAGUUUGGUCCCUAUCUGCCGUGGGCGUUGGAAAUUUGAGUGGGGCUGCUCCUAGUACGAGAGGACCGGAGUGGACGCACCUCUGGUGUACCGGUUAUGACGCCAGUCGUAUCGCCGGGUAGCUAAGUGCGGAAGAGAUAACCGCUGAAAGCAUCUAAGCGGGAAACUUGCCAUAAGAUUAGAUUUCCCGGGAAUUUAAUUCCCCUAAAGGUUCGUUGAAGACUACAACGUUGAUAGGUCGAAUGUGUAAGCGUAGUAAUGCGUUAAGCUAAUCGAUACUAAUUGACCGUGAGGCUUGAUCCUAUAAUCUU